rnacentral:lncRNA from 1 species
UACGUUUGACUUUUGACAUCAAGAAAUGAAUGUGACAUAGCUGAUAAUGUGGCACAAACAGGGUCGGCCCUGAGUUUUUCAGGGCCUAAAGCGACAAAAAAAAUUUGGGCCCUUUGCGAAUUGCUAUUAAGAUAGAUAUAAAAAAAAUUAAGAACUUUCUCUGAACAAAAGAGCAUAAAUACAAAAGAAUACCAAAUAUAAUAACCGAUUAUUUCAAUAUUUUUAAAGCAU